CACCCCCAAUCUCUCAUCUGCCCACACUCACCACUCUAACGUGCUUCACUCUCUGGCCCACUCCUUCUAAUUUUUUUUGUCCGCUCUUCCUCUUCCCUUCCCCAUUCCUCUCCUCUCCAACAGAUCUGUAAAAACACAAAAAGCUGGAAGUCGUGGAACCAGGUUGGGAA